GCUGGAAUAGCUCAGUGGUAUAGAGUGUUUACCCAGCAUGCACAAGGUCCUGGGUUCAAUCCCCAGCACCACA
rnacentral:tRNA from 1 species